rnacentral:lncRNA from 1 species
GAAGAGAGUGGUCUGGAGAGUUGGGACCCGAGAGACAGAAGGAAAAUCUGCCAAGCCGGGAACAAAAGGAAAGAAAAAGAGAGAAGGGAGUUCGGCCAGACCAGGAGAGAAAAGAGAAGGAAGAAAGGACAGAAAAAGAGAGAUGGAAGUUCGGCCGCACCAAAGAAAGAAAAGAAAGAAAGAAAGGGAGGAAAAGAAAGAGAGAAAGCUGGACUUGUGGUGACCGGGUUUUGAUGAGAGAGAGACAGAGAGAGCUUGUGCUGUCCAUCGAUACUGGUUCAUGAGAAGGCCGGCUGGAACAAGGAGGAAGAUAAAGGGAAAGAGAAGAAAGGUGGAGACUUGGUCCACUCAGCCCAAAUGAGAAGUACGAAAGUAAAGAUAGUGUAUUGUUGCGGUACGUCGGAGCAAGUAACGAGCAAUCGGUAAAUAGAAAUAGUGAUGUAAUGUCUCAUUAUUGUAAGGUGCGCAGGAAAUGUUUAUUUUAAAAUUUUUGUAAUUAUAUAUAUAUAUAUACAUAAGUAUGAUUUAUUUUACAUGUAAAAAUUAUGAAAAAUAUGAAUUGAUAGAAUUUUAAGAAAUUUUGUGAUUGUUAUGAUUUUAAAAGUGUUUUGAGUAUAUAGAAUAAAUUAUACAUAAAGUGUUCUAAAUCAAAAAAUAAGCUC